GUGAGUCGAUUCCUGGACUGUCCGGGUGAAAACCGGACGGGUGGUAACACUAGUCAUAUGAUUAGCAAGAUGGAAGCUCCUGCUGGACUAAAUAUACUUUUAUAAUAGUCAUAAAAUUAUUGUAAUUAUGAUAAUUUAUUUUAUGAUAAAAUUAUGAUGAUUAUCAUUCACCAUUUCUGCACACAAUAAGUCUUAACUUGCUAACUCAGCACACUGUUCGAGGAUAUUCAGAAUACUUCUUAGCUCUGUCCUCCUAGCCAAUUACAUUUCUUACUUAGCAUUCUGCAUUACUGAAUUUAGUUCUGUUUAAUGGAUAUGUAUUUCUGGCUACAUAGGAAGGAACUUGCCAUGCCAUUUGUAGUUCCAAUUGUAUGAAAAGAAUCAAUUGUGUUACAGGUUCUACUUCUGCAUUAACCAUGCCAAAGUAUGAAUGACUAAGAAGAAGAUAACCAUUAGCUAUCCUGAUAUGCCUUCUACAAUACUGCCUAAACUACAUAGUGAGGAAAUACCCAUUUCAGAACCUUCCAAGUACACAAUAGUGAGUGAUGUAGAUGAACCAGACAUGAAUGAAUUGGCAGAUCAUCAUUAUUUGACUGAAUUUGUGUUGAAUUUUUGAGAUGCAACACAGAAUAACACAGGAAGAACUGAAUAAUCUUAUCAGGGAUCUGGAAUUACCCAAGAAUAAAGCAGAACUAUUCAUGCCAAAUGGUUGCCAGAUUAUAUGAAACUAUAUUAAUGCUGUUGUUAAUAUUAAUAAUUAAAUAUCAAGUAAUUUGGCCUAGAGGUAGGAGUUAAGUGUUAUUUCUUUUUAAAUUAAUUAUUAAAUUUAUCAAGUUCUAGAAAAAAAGCUAGAAGAAAAGAAUAAACCUGAAGCAGGGCUUGAACCCACAACUUGUGCUUGCCUUGCAGACACGUUGCUAGUUAUGUUCCAGCUGAUCUUCAAUUCCAGAACUAUUAAUUUAAAUAUAACCAUACUGGUUACUCACAAUGCUGACUUAACUAAUGGCUUGGCUUCCAGGUUGAAACAAUGGAAUUGCCUUGCAGAAAAUGUGAAAAGUUACUUCUUUUGCUGCCAACACAAUGUUUUUUGCAGUUCUAUUCUAAAGAAGGUGAUCUCAAUUUCUGUAACAUUGUCAAUGAUGUUACAGCAGCUUUGGGCAUCAUGUACACUUGCAAUAAAUGGCAUUUGUUUAUAGAUUCAGUUUGAAGUUGGUGCUUUUACACAACAACACGCUGCCUUCUGUUCCACUGGCAUAUGUUACCCAAACUAAAGAAAUCUAUACAGUUAUGGAAACCUUAGACUUCAGAACAAGAAUCAGGAGUGAUGUGCAUUGGAUUUUAAAGUUAUUGCUAUAUUAAUGGAACUACAGCAGGGAUACAGAAAAUUUUGUUGCUCUGUCUGAAUGGGAUAGUUGUGACAAAUUAAA
rnacentral:lncRNA from 1 species